UGAAUUGUUACCAACAAAUUCAACAUCUCAAAAAAAUGUUAGCCAAAUGUAUGCAAAUGUAAGAAAUGUUAAUAUGGAUUUUAGCGUUUGAAUCCUAAAACACUACAAGAUGACAGAGAUGAAUAUUAAACAUUGCCAAUUUAAUUGUCAUGCAUCAAAAUAAAUAGCAAUUUCUAUAAAAGAUUUAAACACAUAAGGCAUUUAUUUGGAACUGUCCAGCUAUACCAGAAGUGAAAUACAUUUGCUGCUGUGUGUAAUUGAAUUGAUAUUAAAUAAAAUUGAGUCGAGUAUGUUUGCAUCCAAAAAAAAAUGUAAACCAUUCUCAUGCGUAUAUCAAAUUAAAUCGCAUGCAUUGAAAUUCGUAUAUAUGCACUUUAAAGAACAAACGUUAUUCACGUAUGGGAUUAAAAUAGAUACCCGUUGCGACAUUACCUAUGGAAAUGAAAUUAUUCGUAAGGUAUGGCAUAAAAAUUAAAUCGAAGUUUAAGAUGUAGCAUUGAAUUCCAAUGAAUUUAAUAGUGCAUCUUUUAAUUAAAAUGAACGUCGAAUUAUUUUGUGAAUCAUUUCUAUGCGAUACACCGCAUUAAAAUACAUUGCAUUUUAAAUGUGCUUAUACAUACAAUGGAAAUUCGGUCUGCAUAAAAUGUAACGCAUAAGAAUAAGACACAAAUUUAAUGUAUCAAAUGGAAAUGGUAUGAAUGAAAACUACUCUGCAUGCAAAUGCGCAGUUACGUUAGAGAAGGAAAGUAGCCGUAGGUCGUAGGUACGUUUUAUUUGCGGUUGCGCAAAAACAAAACAGCUGUUAUUGAUUGUUACUUACAUCGAACGUAUAAAUGGAUUAUUUAUACGUUCAUCAAUUUUGAGAAGGCAAGCGAUUUAUUGGGUUAUUUACGUCGGUCACACGUGACCUUUACAGUUUUUACGUACAUAUUCGGAUUUGCACCUGCUGCGCAAUAUUGUUUAAUAUAAAGCAAGAAAAAGGCCGAUGGAAAUCGAAAGAUGUGCAAGAGGCGCCGGGUCCCCUUAACAAUAAAUUGGAGGUGUACGCUGUCGCUAUAAAAAUAGGUAAUCUCAAAUUUCACUUAUUCUUACCUGUAAUGCAAAUUGAGUGAACAGUUACAGGUUCGUGGGAAUUAAUAAUGGAUAAAGAGUCCAGAGAUAAACCGUGUUAAUGGAACGAAGCUCAUGUUCUACGACUCUUGUAAGGAACAAGCACAUCGACAAGUUGAUGCUCCUUCGUAAUGGAAAUUAUGUCGAGUUCAAUCGUGAUAUAUCUACUAACACGAUUAGUUAAAUAUGUAAUCUCCAUUGAAUGAGAGAUUUGUAUAUUUACAAGAUGCUAAUACAUGUACCUGUGUAGAAACACGAGCACGUGAGACAUUGUUAGACACGUAUCUCGUUCUGUUUGAUGGGUGCACCGUAGUAUGUAAACGAAGACGUGUCAUUCGCUAACAAAGUUACACAAAUAUUGUCAACAAAAUUUGUAUCCUGAUAAUUAAACGAUUAUCCUAUUCGUCA